UUUCUCGAUACGUUGAACACGCUAAUACGNAAUACGCUUCGGGAAACCGCCAGGAGAAGAGGGCCCGCGUCUGAUUAGCUAGUUGGUAGGGUAACGGCCUACCAAGGCGACGAUCAGUAGCUGGUCUGAGAGGAUGAUCAGCCACACUGGGACUGAGACACGGCCCAGACUCCUACGGGAGGCAGCAGUGGGGAAUAUUGGACAAUGGGGGCAACCCUGAUCCAGCAAUGCCGCGUGUGUGAUGAAGGCCUUAGGGUUGUAAAGCACUUUCACUGGUGAAGAUGAUGACGGUAACCAGAGAAGAAGCCCCGGCUAACUUCGUGCCAGCAGCCGCGGUAAUACGAAGGGGGNGAGCGUUGUUCGGAAUUACUGGGCGUAAAGGGCGCGUAGGCGGUCUUUUAAGUUAGGCGUGAAAGCCCCCGGCUCAACCUGGGAACUGCGCUUAAGACUGGAAGACUAGAAAACGGAACAGGGUAGUG
rnacentral:rRNA from 1 species